rnacentral:rRNA from 1 species
UACGGGGGGGGCAAGCGUUGUUCGGAAUUACUGGGCGUAAAGGGCUCGUAGGCGGCCAACUAAGUCAGACGUGAAAUCCCUCGGCUUAACCGGGGAACUGCGUCUGAUACUGGAUGGCUUGAGUGUGGGAGAGGGAUGCGGAAUUCCAGGUGUAGCGGUGAAAUGCGUAGAUAUCUGGAGGAACACCGGUGGCGAAGGCGGCAUCCUGGACCACGACUGACGCUGAGGAGCGAAAGCCAGGGGAGCAAACGGG